AUGAACGCUAGCUACAGGCUUAACACAUGCAAGUCGAGGGGCAUCAGUUUGGUUUGCUUGCAAACCAAAGCUGGCGACCGGCGCACGGGUGAGUAACACGUAUCCAACCUGCCUCAUACUCGGGGAUAGCCUUUCGAAAGAAAGAUUAAUAUCCGAUAGCAUAUAUUUCCCGCAUGGGUUUUAUAUUAAAGAAAUUCGGUAUGAGAUGGGGAUGCGUUCCAUUAGUUUGUUGGGGGGGUAACGGCCCACCAAGACUACGAUGGAUAGGGGUUCUGAGAGGAAGGUCCCCCACAUUGGAACUGAGACACGGUCCAAACUCCUACGGGAGGCAGCAGUGAGGAAUAUUGGUCAAUGGACGCGAGUCUGAACCAGCCAAGUAGCGUGAAGGAUGACUGCCCUAUGGGUUGUAAACUUCUUUUAUAUGGGAAUAAAGUUGUCCACGUGUGGAUUUUUGUAUGUACCAUAUGAAUAAGGAUCGGCUAACUCCGUGCCAGCAGCCGCGGUAAUACGGAGGAUCCGAGCGUUAUCCGGAUUUAUUGGGUUUAAAGGGAGCGUAGGCGGAUUGUUAAGUCAGUUGUGAAAGUUUGCGGCUCAACCGUAAAAUUGCAGUUGAUACUGGCAGUCUUGAGUGCAGUAGAGGUGGGCGGAAUUCGUGGUGUAGCGGUGAAAUGCUUAGAUAUCACGAAGAACUCCGAUUGCGAAGGCAGCUCACUGGAGUGUAACUGACGCUGAUGCUCGAAAGUGUGGGUAUCAAACAGGAUUAGAUACCCUGGUAGUCCACACAGUAAACGAUGAAUACUCGCUGUUUGCGAUAUACAGUAAGCGGCCAAGCGAAAGCAUUAAGUAUUCCACCUGGGGAGUACGCCGGCAACGGUGAAACUCAAAGGAAUUGACGGGGGCCCGCACAAGCAGUGGAGUAUGUGGUUUAAUUCGAAGCAACGCGAAGAACCUUACCAGGGCUUGACAUAUAGAUGAAUAACUAAGAGAUUAGUUAGUCCUUCGGGACAUCUAUACAGGUGGUGCAUGGUUGUCGUCAGCUCGUGUCGUGAGAUGUUGGGUUAAGUCCCGCAACGAGCGCAACCCUUAUCUUCAGUUACUAACAGGUCAUGCUGAGGACUCUGGAGAGACUGCCGUCGUAAGAUGUGAGGAAGGUGGGGAUGACGUCAAAUCAGCACGGCCCUUACGUCCGGGGCUACACACGUGUUACAAUGGGGGGUACAGAAGGCCGCUACCUGGUGACAGGAUGCCAAUCCCAAAAACCUCUCUCAGUUCGGAUCGAAGUCUGCAACCCGACUUCGUGAAGCUGGAUUCGCUAGUAAUCGCGCAUCAGCCAUGGCGCGGUGAAUACGUUCCCGGGCCUUGUACACACCGCCCGUCAAGCCAUGAAAGCCGGGGGUACCUGAAGUACGUAACCGCAAGGAGCGUCCUAGGGUAAAACUGGUAAUUGGGGCU
rnacentral:rRNA from 1 species